UCGACCGAUAGUAUUAGGACCUCGGAACGUGCGCAUCUCUAAAACACUGGAAAUAUUUCUUCCGUCUAUCACAACAUGAUCGAUCUGGUUACAACCAUAUUUCGGCCUCCGACGAAGUCGAUCAGCCUGAGGACUAAAUUUUUCGAUUGUUGUCACAAAAACACCUACUUUGCUAACCCUUGUGUUAAAGUCGCCAAUCACAGUUUCGGCAUCGUGGCCAGGUCAGCGUUCAUAAGUGUAAUCUAGGCGCUCUAAAGGCUUGGCUAAAUAAUCCUUCUCUUCCGUCGGUGCUUGGGCGCAAAUCAGCGAUGUGUUAAAAAAUUUUGUUUUGAUUCGAAUUGUGGCGUGAUGUUCAUCCACCAGGGUGAAUGCCAGUACUUUAUUACAGAUUGAUUUAAUGUAUUCAAUCCCAGAAGCGGAGCUUAAACAGAAAAACUAGGUUUUGUCGUCAUUGCCUAAGGCAAAAGUCUUAAUAUAGCCACGACGGUGUUUGGUCUACUAAAAACAAUUUGAUUUGUGCCAGAAAAUAACGUAAGCGCAUGUAAAUAAGAAUAUGAAUACUUACAAAGCGAUAUGCCAAAAAUUUUAUCAGUUGAUUCAUAUCAACCGAAAAAUAUGAAUGCUAGCAGAACUAUAAAUAAUUAAGCUAUUAUAUAAUUUACAGGGUAAAACGGUUAGCGUGCUAGUAAAUAAUAAAGUUGCUUUGAGUUGGACUUUGCAAUGUUUUAAAUAUUAUAUGAUGAUAAUGCCUAUAGUGUUUCUAUGUUAAUUCUGCCAAAAAAGUUUUGAAAAAGGAUAAUGUGUUAAAUUUAAAGAUAUUUAAUAUUCAUGUACUAAAUACUAUGUGUGCUACGAAUAGCAACAUUUUUAUAACAAUAAUUAUUAAAGAAGUUAAUUAUAAAU